rfam:Pseudomonas sp. M30-35, complete genome.
UUGGUUAGAAAUCUACCUAGGUUAUCGCCGCAACGGUGAUAACACAGGAGGCUCGCGACGCCGGCAGCGGACUCCAACGGCAGACCAUUUCUGCCUGAUCUCACCAUGAGAUCUACAGGACAUAAACAGUCAAC